rnacentral:misc_RNA from 1 species
GCGGCUUUGUUCUUUGUUUAAAUAAGCCUAUAAUAUUGGAAAAAGGGGAGAGAAAGAGGUUACUCCAUUUCUUCCCUAACAAUAAUGUUAACAUAACAAGGCUAUAGAACUGCACCAAUCAGCUCAGUUGUGAUGAAGCAGAUGCCUCAUCUUCUUGUCUCUCCAUUACUAUACGUCUCGAUGGUGGCCCGACAAUACUCAGUAUCACUGGUAGAAAUAUUAGCCCAUGCAAGAAACCAAUAAUGAUCAGUGCCAGGUACAUUUGGAAGUAAUAGACCACAAAAAUUUCUGAUCUUGAGAAGCAAAGGACAAUGACUCCAACAAGCUUCGUGAAAGUAAUUCCACUAAGGACAGAAGCUCCCAUAGUACUCAGAGCCUGCUUAGCCCUAUGGCUCC